AUCAGUAGAUUAUACUUUAUGUUAUCUAGUCAAUGCAAUUUCUGCUGACCUGGAUUUCAGGUAAAGAGUCAAAGUCAUGCAUACCAAAAUAGAUAAUGUGUACAAAAACACCUCCUAUACCUCCCAUAGAACUCCCAACAGCUUGUCUGUCUUGAUUGCAGACCUCCAGGCAUGGCCUUCAUACUCUUCACAUUUGAAUUGCAUAUCUCAAUUUCUUUUGCAUUAGAGCAUUAAUGAUGGGUAAUAUGUUCUUCACAGCUUUUUCAGCCUUUUGGUUCAUGCACUGAGAAGCACUUCUGAUAUCAAUCCCAUAAAUGAUACCAGGGUCAUUUGACUGCCGCCAUCACUUAGAAGUGCUCUAUGUAUUUGUAACUUGUGGUCUAAAAGGACAAGGAGCUCUGAAUCACACUGGGACCCUCUUUACUGGUAUUGCUAACACAGUUGGAUUCCUGUACUGUAAAGGUGGUAAAGAUGAAGGAGCUACAAAUGACUAGGCUUAAGGAACAGGAAGGUAAAAAGCUAUGCAAUUCCGUGAUUCAAAUGAUUUUGGAGAGUCUUAGCUGAUAAAAAUCAUCACAAAACCAUCAGAAGCAAAACAACUCGAUGACUUAGAGCAGCUGUGUGGUCAUACUUUUUUAAGGGUUCAGCUGGCACAAGCAGCUUCAGUUGUUACAGACCUCUUUCCACUCCUUAUGCAAGAAGGUGGCGAGUUUUAUUUGUGCUGCUUCCACCUCAGCAGUUUUGCAGUGUCAGAUAUGUGGUAUCAAAUCUCCAGAGGAAACACAAAGGGGAGUGCAGCUGGUUCAUUCCUGACACCCUAUGGUGCUCAGAACUAGAGGAUGAUUGUGAUGGCAGCAGAACAAAGCCAAGGUCCUAAAAUACAAACCUGACAACCACAUUGGAAUUCAACCUGUAUUUGAAUACUUCGUUAGAUUUAGUGAAAAAAACAGAGAAUUUAUGUAGAUGUGACUUCAAUGUGUUUGGACCCUGAUUGACUACUGAAGGAAAUCCCUUGCUGGUCUUAGCCUUUUGGAUACAACUGCAGGAAGUAUGUACCUACACCUUUGUAAGUUGCAGUUUAUGUGUUUCAAUUUUGUGUCAACAAAAUGAAACUAUGAAAAGGUAAGGGAGGCCACCAAUAAACCAGGACAAGCAAUCAUUCAGCUCAGAACCUUAUCUCUGAAAGUGGAUGGAUGAGAAUUGCUAGAGCAAAACAAAAGAACAAGGACUUUUUUUACUGCU